UGGCAAAUAUCUUCAACCAAUGUCUGCUUCAAAAGUACCAUGUGAAAACUUCAGUAUGUCAUUUCAAAUGUCUAAGGUGACAUUUCAUUUGCUGUGGUAUCGUUUUGGUGAAUAUGAAGUGGGCAGCAAGGAUGUUCGUCCAAUUUCCGGUACAAAAACGCUGAACAUUCAUAACAAAUUCUGAUAUAAACACAGAAGCAGCAGUUCAGGAAGCAUCCGUGGAGAAUCGAAAAUGAGUUAACGUUUCAGCUCUAUGAUGUUUUGUCAUAACAAAUUCUGAGUGAGAUGGCUUUUGAUCUGCUGCAGAGAUACUUUUGAUGAAAAUUAAGUUGGCUGCAAAGAUGAUUGCCAAUAUCUGGUACAAAAACACUGCUAACAAAUUGUGAGUCUGAGAGGCGUUUGAUCUGCUGCAGUAAAAAUGAAGGAGGUGGCAAGCUUGCUCAUCCAAUUUCUAGUUCAGAAAUACUGUGAAGAAGGAAGUAUCGUGAAAUGACCUGCAAUAUCGAUCGCAGUGCUGUUUUGGGAAAUGCGAAGAAGAAGGAAGUAUCGUGAAAUGACCUGCAAUAUCGAUCGCAGUGCUGUUUUGGGAAAUACGAAGAAGAAAUGUUUUUCUAAUCUCUGAAGGAAUCUAAUGUCUGCAGCUUCUGUUAACUGAAGGAAAACUAAGCGACUGAUUAUUCGUCUAAAAUCUAAAAUCUGAGUGACUAUGAAGAAGAAUGAAAAGAGGAUCUCAGAAAAGACCUAUAUUUCAUCAGCAGCUGAUUAAAUCACAAUGUGACAAAACAUGUUUUAAGCUGGAUUUAUAUAUACCCAUUUAUUGAGAAGUCUGUACUUCCUAGUACAGGAACUACUGUACAUUGCAUUUGUUGUAACACAAUAAACAUUUGUUACAUGACUUUUUAAAAUGAAAGAAAUUUCCUGUUCAGGUUGAUGGGAAUUAAAACUGAAAUUCUUGCAUAUACAGACUGUUCUAUUUUGUACAAUGGUUGAGAUGUAAUGCUACAUCGUCCAGUCAGAAAUGAUGGAUUAUUGAUGAUGGACAAUAUAAAACAAUGGUGUGUGCAGGGCAGAGUAUGCUGAGCUUGCAAAGCAAAAUUGUGGUUGAGAUCAUUGCUCUGGGGGCAGUACAGCAGUCGGGAGGCCUGCUGAGGAAAUUGGGCAUUGCACUGCUAUCAAGUGACUUGCAAGUUACAGUAAACUGAGGGUGACCAGCUAACCUGACCUGUGCCAAUGCCACAAUAAUUGGGUACUCGGUGUCCCCAUCAUCCUGACUUGUUCUGACAUGAAAGACGCUAUACAAGUAUACUUUGUUGUUGUUAUCAUCCCCCGCAGAGGAGCCCGUUUCCUUCCAGAAACUCCUGUCUGACAGCUCGGUUGGGAUUGGUUACAAACAUGUUGAUCAGAAUUCAGCAUUGAUGCAAACUCCACAUAAGUAUUUAUUCCAUUGAAACAUUUUCAAAUUUACUACAGUAGAUCAUAACACAAUGCCACCUAAAUCAUGUACUUGCAUCCUGAAGCA